AUUGAACGCUGGCGGCAUGCUUUACACAUGCAAGUCGAACGGUAACAGGUUAAGCUGACGAGUGGCGAACGGGUGAGUAAUGUAUCGGAACGUGCCCGAUCGUGGGGGAUAACGCAGCGAAAGCUGCGCUAAUACCGCAUACGAUCUGAGGAUGAAAGCGGGGGACCGUAAGGCCUCGCGCGCUCGGAGCGGCCGAUGUCAGAUUAGGUAGUUGGUGGGGUAAAGGCUCACCAAGGCGACGAUCUGUAGCUGGUCUGAGAGGACGACCAGCCACACUGGGACUGAGACACGGCCCAGACUCCUACGGGGGGCAGCAGUGGGGAAUUUUGGACAAUGGGCGAAAGCCUGAUCCAGCAAUGCCGCGUGCAGGAAGAAGGCCUUCGGGUUGUAAACUGCUUUUGUACGGAGCGAAAAGGCUCUCUCUAAUACAGGGGGCUCAUGACGGUACCGUAAGAAUAAGCACCGGCUAACUACGUGCCAGCCGCCGCCGUAA
rnacentral:rRNA from 1 species